rnacentral:rRNA from 1 species
AACGAACGCUGGCGGCAGGCUUAACACAUGCAAGUCGAACGAGAUCUUUGGAUCUAGUGGCAGACGGGUGAGGAACACGUGGGAACAUCCCUUUCAGUUCGGAAUAACGUCGGGAAACUAACGCUAAUACCGGAUACGUCCUUCGGGAGAAAGAUUUAUCGCUGAAAGAUUGGCCCGCGUCUGAUUAGCUAGUUGGUGAGGCAACGGCUCACCAAGGCUACGAUCAGUAGCUGAUCUGAGAGGAUGAUCAGCCACAUUGGGACUGAGACACGGCCCAAACUCCUACGGGAGGCAGCAGUGGGGAAUAUUGGACAAUGGGCGCAAGCCUGAUCCAGCCAUGCCGCGUGAGUGAUGAAGGCCUUCGGGUUGUAAAGCUCUUUUAUCCGGGAAGAUAAUGACUGUACCGGAAGAAUAAGCCCCGGCAAACUUCGUGCCAGCAGCCGCGGUAA